UGACAUGCUGUAGUUAUAUAAGUGACUAUGCAAUUCAGUGCUUGGAAAGCUCUAUUAUCGGGAAAUCCUUUAGCCUCCCCUUCAAAUAAACAUGAAUUGAAACGAAGAUUUUUAAAAGUUCCUUUUCAAUGGUGUGUAUACUAAGAGAAGGUUUACAUUUUUCUCAUGUACCCUCAGCGAUGAUUUAUAGAGACUGAAGUAUUCGCUUUGUACCACAUGUUUGCUUUCACCUCGGGAUAUUGUUGAAUGGAGGAAGAUGAGUUCAUAGGCUCGGGAUCCAUCUUUUGAUGAAAAAGAAAGGGAAUGGUGCAUAUCAAAGGAGGUUCGCUCUCACAUGUGCAAGAGAUGAUUUGAAGAUUGCAGUGUAGACUUAGACAAGAACAACUAUGAGAGGCCAACACUUAGCGGUUCCAGCUUGAAACUCUAUCUGGAGAUGCAUGUUGAUUUGUAUCUAUGUAGACCGAUAGUAGUGCAUAGCAUAUACAAAUUGGUGUUGAACACAUGGAGAUCCAAGACAUAG